GAGAAUAAGAGGGUUGUGGGAGGGUAGAGAAAAAUAGAGAGAGUGGGGUAGAGAAGGGAAAGAAAGCAGGGGAGAGAGAGAGAGAGCUCUGUAGAGAGAGUGGGAAGAGAACAGAGAAAUGGAAGAGAAUAUAAUCUAGGGACCCGCAAUGAGCACUUCUGGGUGGGCUGUACAGCAGUUUGUUACAGCGGUGCGGUGAAGCCUCCAUCAAUCUUCAAGCCGUGAACCUUGAUCUCCAAGCCAAAUGCAGGAUUUCCAGAGGCUUUUUUGACCAGCUAAACUAAAAAAGCGCACCUGAGCUCCAAUCUGGCCUCCCUAUGGCUGCUUCAACCCUCAUCCCAUUUGUAGCUGAAAAUAAAACUGGAGAGGGAGCAAACACUUAAGGAGGAGGGAAAGAGAACCAAACCACAAAGGCACCUGGACUGAUCAAAGCAGCGGGGUACAUAACAGGGAUGUGCUGCCAGAAUGAUAAAAACAAACUCCCACAAAAGUACUUCCCCCGAGUUUAUGAGCAAGUCUGUCCCAGGAGACAUGGGCAUCAGAGAGAAGUGGCGAGGGAACAGGGAAAUCGAUUCAUUUGUUUGGCUAUUUGAACAAAUGGCUCUCUCAAACCCCUAACCAGGGAGUGAGGCAGCACCAUGCAGCAGAUUCCUCAUGAGUACCCUUCCUGGGAAAUGCUUAGACUUUGUUUCUAAAAUAGAGAGUCUGCUCAGUACUAACUGUAGCUCUUUGAGUGAAUUAUCUGUAUGGAUCACACUCUUGCAGUGGGGCGGCGUCCUGGGCCUUCCACUCAGAUCUUGUUAGAAAGCAGUAUCAGUCAGGGCCACAUGGAUUCUGAGCAGGCAUGGACCAAUGCUGAGUGAGGAUGAUAACAAAACUUUAUUUAAGUAAUGGGGAAAACCAAGUUUCACUAAGGGAGUUCCCAAAGUACUAGGCCUCUGUCAUAAAUAUAAAGGGAAGGGUAAACCCCUUUAAAAUCCCUCCUGGCCAGAGGAAAAAUCCUCUCACCUGUAAAGGGUUAAGAAGCUAAAGGUAACCUCGCUGGCACCUGACCAAAAUGACCAAUGAGGAGACAAGAUACUUUCAAAAGCUGGAAGGAGGGAGAAAAACAAAGGGUCUGUGUCUGUCUGUAUGCUGCUUUUGCCGGGGACAGAACAGGAAUGGAGUCUUAGAACUUUUAGUUUUGCCUAGAGGGACUCUCUAUGUUUGGAAUCUAUCUACCAUCCUGAUUUUACAGAGGUGAUUCCUUUACUUCUAUUAAAAGUCUUCUUGUAAGAAAA